rnacentral:rRNA from 1 species
AUUCCAGCUCUGUAAGCGUAUACCAAAGUUGUUGCAGUUAAAACGCUCGUAGUCGGACGUUGGCGGGCGCCUCGAGUCGGCCUCACGGUCGAUCUUGUUGGCGACCGCCUUUGUGGAGGGGGGCUUAGGUCGGUGCUUUAUUGUCAUCCCUUUGUCGCUGCCACCGUUUACUGUGAAAAAAUUAGAGUGUUCAAAGCGGGCGUUUGCCAUGAAUACAUUAGCAUGGAAUAAUAGAAUAGGACCUGGUCCUGUUUUGUUGGUUUGUGAGUAUCAGGUAAUGAUUAAGAGGGACGGUUGGGGGCAUUUGUAUUCCGGCGUCAGAGGUGAAAUUCUUGGAUUGCCGGAAGACAAACAGCUGCGAAAGCGUCUGCCAAGGAUGUUUUCAUUG